UACGUAGGGGGCGAGCGUUGUCCGGAUUUAUUGGGCGUAAAGAGCGUGUAGGCGGCCAGGUAGGUCUGCUGUGAAAACUCGAGGCUCAACCUCGAGACGUCGGCGGAAACCAUCUGGCUAGAGUCCGGAAGAGGAGAGUGGAAUUCCUGGUGUAGCGGUGAAAUGCGCAGAUAUCAGGAAGAACACCCGUGGCGAAGGCGGCUCUCUGGGACGGUACUGACGCUGAGACGCGAAGCGUGGGGAGCGAACAGG
rnacentral:rRNA from 1 species